rnacentral:lncRNA from 1 species
GGGGAGGCUGGGAUCCAGGGGCACAGCUGCUUGCUCUGGUGACGUUGACCCUGUGGGGACAGCUGUGUUGUAAAAAUGAAUCUGAUAAUCAGAGUGAAUCGGAUGCCUAGGUCAUGAUGGACUGACUGUGUCCUCCCCACCAAAUUCACAUGUUGAAGUCCCGAUUCCCCAAGAGGACAGUAUUAAGAGGUAAGGAGGUUUGGAUGAUGUCCUGAGGGUGGGGCUCCCCAGGGUGAGAUUAGUGCCCUUCCGGGGCCUGUGCCCACGUGCGUUCACGUAGAGCAGAGCCCAUGGGAGGGCUAGUGAGGAGGCGGACACUCACUGAGAGUGAGUGUGCAGGUGCCCUGGUCUUAGACUUGCCCACCUGCAGAGCUGGAGAACAAAUGCCCACUGUUCAGACCACCCCGUGGGUGGUGUUUUGUUCCAGCAUCCAAAGGGACUGGGGUGUGUGUGGAGAAAGGAAGUCCUCACAACAGCUGAAACUCUAAAUCCAGCCCUCCCCUGUUCCAGCUGUACCUCUGGGCUUUGUGCGGUUUGGUUAUGCAGCCCACAGAUUCCCUUUUUUGCUCACAUUGGUCUGGGCUAAGUUUCUAAUUAAUUUUUCCACUAUUACCAGUCAGUAGCUGCUUCACAGGACAAAACUUUCACUUCUCGCGGGAGCUCUGUGCUGCUGGCCUUCUGGUGCUUGCUGCUACGGACCAGCCCCCCACCCUGUCCUCCUGAUGCUGCCCCAAAUGUCCACCUCCUACCCGAGGACCACCUGGGCCCAAACAGAGACUCCAGUAUUGCAGCCCAGUUGGCUUGUGUGCAGCGUGUCCGGUAGAUGCCCAUUCUUGAGGCAGAAGUCCUCUCAGACCAAGGAAGGAGCACACUGCUUGGCCAGGUGCUGUCCCAAGCAGCGCUGGAAAAUUCUUGACAUCAUCCAGUGGCUUAUCCUGGAAAUGGUGUCGAUGGAAGUGGAGAGCGGGGCGAGCAGGAGGCUGCGGACCAGAAGCUGAGGGCACAGAUUCUGAAAAAGAUUACUGACAACCCCAGUUGUGAGGCAGCCGACUGGAAAGGGCCGGUUCUAGAGCAGAAAGCCUUCCUGCCGGCAGAGCAAGGAUAAAAACAAAGUCCUGGCAAAUACAAUCAGGCAUCGCCUACAGCCUCUUCCCUCAGCAGUAACACUCACGUGUUGUGUGUGUUAUUUUAUAUCACCCAAACCAUGUGCACAUACGCCUUUGUGUCCUUUAUUUCACUGUGUAUCCCAUCUUGAAAAUUGUCCCUUGUCAUUAGAACUCAUCCACAAACAUCAUUUUUGAGAACUAUAUAGUAUUUGUUCACUCUACCGUAUUUGCUUAUGUCCUUAUUGCUGGAUAUUUCCCCCAAGUUUUCAGUAUUACAAAGAACUCAGGAAUAAACCACUUUGUCUCCUACCUGUGGUUUUCCAGAGAUCUCUCUCUCUCUCUUAGCCUUCUCUUAUAGAUUUUGGCAGAGAAAACACUCAUGUUGUUAUGAAAGGAGAGGUUAACAAGCUGGUAAAAUGCACAUAUCGUAUAGGAGAUUGUAAGCAAUGCUUAUUUUCUUCUUUGGACUUGCUGUGAGGACUAUCCUAGGUUUAUAGAUAAGGAAGCUGAGGCUCAAAGAAGUUAAGUGAUUUGCUCAAGGUCACUGAGCCAGGAUUUCAACUCAGGCAAUUAAACUCCAGAGCCCCCACUUCUUUUCUUGUUAGUGUUUAUUCAUUUUGAGAGACAGAGAGUGUGUGUGUGUGUGUGUGUGUGUGUGUGUGUGUGCGUGCAUACACAUGGAGGAGGGGCAAAGGAAGGCCAAGAGAAAGAGAAUCCCAAGCAGGCUCCAUGCUUAGCGAGGAGCCUGACCUAGGACUCCGUCCACGACUGUGAGCUCAUGACUCGAGCUGAAUGAAGAGUCGGAUGCUUAACUGACUGAACCACCCAGGCACCGCCCCCACCCAGAGCCCACAUUUUAACUUCUUUGCUUUACCGCCUCAAAUAAACUGUGGUUCGUAAGCAACAAGAUGAUGCUGUAGAAGAACGCAAGGUAAGAAAGAUUAAGAGGACAAAAGCAGCUUACAAAGUGAUACAUUCAGUCUGGUUCUUCUUCUUCUUCUUCUUCUUUUUUUUUUUUUUUUUUUUUUACUUUGUAGGAUAUAAAAUGCACAGGACGAAGAAUGGGAAAAUGCCCGUCAGGAUGGGGGGAUUAUUUGUGAUUUUAAUUUUCUUUGUACUUUUCCCGAUGUUCUGUAAUGACCACUUCUUGAAGUCAGAAAACUUUAAAGUAUCAGAAUCUUGUAUUCAUUCAGUUGACAGGAAACUACCAUGGAUGGAGGCGAACGCGGGCUCUAGGCUGGGGGCAUGAGGAGGUAGGGGGAAAGCAGGAAGGCUUCAGGGAAGAGGGGG